AGAGUUUGAUCCUGGCUCAGGACGAACGCUGGCGGCGUGCUUAACACAUGCAAGUCGAACGGUGAUGGCCAGCUUGCUGGUCUGAUCAGUGGCGAACGGGUGAGUAACACGUGAGCAACCUACCCCAGACUCUGGAAUAACCAUGGGAAACGAUGGCUAAUACCGGAUACGAGACGUACACGCAUGUGUGGUGUCUGGAAAGAUUUAUCGGUCUGGGAUGGGCUCGCGGCCUAUCAGCUUGUUGGUGGGGUAGUGGCCUACCAAGGCGACGACGGGUAGCCGGCCUGAGAGGGCGACCGGCCACACUGGGACUGAGAUACGGCCCAGACUCCUACGGGAGGCAGCAGUGGGGAAUAUUGCACAAUGGGCGCAAGCCUGAUGCAGCGACGCCGCGUGAGGGAUGACGGCCUUCGGGUUGUAAACCUCUUUCAGCAGGGAAGAAGCGAAAGUGACGGUACCUGCAGAAGAAGCGCCGGCUAACUACGUGCCAGCAGCCGCGGUAAUACGUAGGGCGCAAGCGUUGUCCGGAAUUAUUGGGCGUAAAGAGCUCGUAGGCGGUUUGUCGCGUCUGCUGUGAAAACCUAAGGCUCAACCUUGGGCUUGCAGUGGGUACGGGCAGACUAGAGUGCGGUAGGGGUGACUGGAAUUCCUGGUGUAGCGGUGGAAUGCGCAGAUAUCAGGAGGAACACCGAUGGCGAAGGCAGGUCACUGGGCCGCAACUGACGCUGAGGAGCGAAAGCAUGGGGAGCGAACAGGAUUAGAUACCCUGGUAGUCCAUGCCGUAAACGUUGGGCACUAGGUGUGGGGCUCAUUCCACGAGUUCCGUGCCGCA
rnacentral:rRNA from 1 species